AGCUUUUCGCAGUGGCAGUAUCAUAGUCAGUGAGGUUUAUCCGAGGCACGAUUAUUGCUAAUUGAAUAUCAAACUUAAAGAUAAUUUUUUGUAGGAGAAACAGGGGUUAAGCUAUUUUCUUAAGUAGAGAGGUCUU
rfam:Mus musculus chromosome 10, GRC primary reference assembly.